UACGUAGGGUGCGAGCGUUGUCCGGAAUUAUUGGGCGUAAAGAGCUUGUGGGCGGUUUGUCGCGUCUGCUGUGAAAUCUCAAGGCUCAACCUUGAGCUUGCAGUGGGUACGGGCAGACUAGAGUGUGGUAGGGGAGACUGGAAUUCAUGGUGUAGCAGUGAAAUGCGUAGAGAUCAUGAGGAAGACCAGUGGCGAAGGCGGGUCUCUGGACAGUUCCUGACACUGAGGCACGAAGGCCAGGGGAGCAAACGGG
rnacentral:rRNA from 1 species